CCUACGGGUGGCUGCAGUGGGGAAUAUUGCACAAUGGGGGGAACCCUGAUGCAGCGACGCCGCGUGAGUGAAGAAGUAUUUCGGUAUGUAAAGCUCUAUCAGCAGGGAAGAAAAUGACGGUACCUGACUAAGAAGCCCCGGCUAACUACGUGCCAGCAGCCGCGGUAAUACGUAGGGGGCAAGCGUUAUCCGGAUUUACUGGGUGUAAAGGGAGCGUAGACGGCAAGGCAAGUCAGGAGUGAAAGCCCGUGGCCCAACCCCGGGACUGCUUUGGAAACUGGGUUGCUGGAGUGCAGGAGGGGGAAGCGGAAUUCCUGGUGUAGCGGUGAAAUGCGUAGAUAUUAGGAGGAACACCGGUGGCGAAGGCGGCCUACUGGACUGUAACUGACGUUGAGGCUCGAAGGCGUGGGGAGCAAACAGGAUUAGAUACCCCUGUAGUC
rnacentral:rRNA from 1 species